rnacentral:rRNA from 1 species
AGUCACUGANAUUAGAUACCCGGGUAGUCCCAGCCGUAAACGAUGCGCGUUAGGUGUAUCGGUGACCACGAGUCACCGAGGGUGCCGAAGGGAAACCGUGAAACGUGCCGCCUGGGAAGUACGGUCGCAAGGCUGAAACUUAAAGGAAUUGGCGGGGGAGCACAACAACGGGUGGAGCUUGCGGUUUAAUUGGAUUCAACGCCGGAAAUCUUACCGGGACCGACAGCAACAUGAAGGCCAAGCUGAAGACUUUGCCGGAUUAGCUG